UGGAAACCUGCUACAAGAGCUGGGAGGAAGCUGAAGUUUCUGCAGUGGAAUACAACUGCGAAUGGCAGGAAAACAAGCUGCAAAGCUCCCAGCAACUCAACUCUCAAACGUGGUCACUCAGAAUGAAGGCUGCAGGUCUGGAAAAGCACUUCCAGUGUCCAUGCCAUCCCAGAGCAAUGAGCUCUAACCGGCUAUAAGCCAUCCUCCAGUGGGGAAUCUCUCGCGCCGUUUCCAAAGAGGACAGGAGGACAGUGAAAUAAACACAUUUGCCAAUGA